GGGGGCGAUCUGGUUUCGACAAGGAUAAUGAUAUAGAAAAAAGCAUAUCGAGAUCUGGUUAACUCGUACCAAUAUUCCAGAAAAUUUAAAUGCAAAUGAAUCAAAAUACGCUCCAGUACGUUUGGCAGCAUAAAUUUAUUAGUCACAUAUAAAGGACUAGCUCCAUCUUUUUGUUCAUUAGAUUGAUUAAUGGAGUAAAAGAAAUAAUGAAAUCGCAAUAGUUAAAGUUACUAAACUAUUGUUAAAAAUAGUAACUCGUCUUUUUUGAAGUUUGUGCAUUAUCUUUAUUUAAAGAUUAAAAAAUGAAAAUAGCACUAAAUAUGUAGAAAUGUCUAUAAAAUAUUCUUGGACGCGGGUUCAAUUCCCGCCGCCUCCAUAA
rnacentral:tmRNA from 1 species